ACGUAAUAACACAUUUACUAAGGGACAGUACUACAGGGUUUUAAAAUGACAUUACAUUUUUCUGUGUUAGGGAGGCGUAAACCACCAGCAACACUCUUAAAACCAGUCCGGCCUGAUGAAUAUAGUGCUACUGCAUCUCCACAUCCAGUGAGGGUUCCUUUGCCAGUACCUCCAGAGUUGCUUGAAUUGGGGUUAUCGACAAGCAAGACCACAUCGCCUUUGAGACCAGUGCAGGAAACCAUGCUUUGUCAAUUGACCUCUACACAGUCUAUAGC